rnacentral:piRNA from 1 species
UNGAUUCAGCCUCGAAUGUGUGCUAUGAGU